rnacentral:tRNA from 1 species
GCGCCGAUGGUUUAGUGGUAAAAUUCUCCGUUGCCAUCCGGCAGCGUCGGGGAGCCGGGGGUUCGAUUCCCCCUCGGCGCA